rnacentral:lncRNA from 1 species
UAAAGCAUGAAUGACCCUGUUUCAAAGAAAUUCAUUUGGGUGCACAACUUUAAUCCCAGCGCUUGUAAGUUUGAAAACAUACAAGAAAAAUUAUCAGCAUAGUCUCAAAGUCUAAAAGUAUUUUGGGCUUGAUUUACUGCCUAACAAAAUGUACAAGGGUCUUGGGGUUGCUUUGGCUGUCCCUGUGGGGAGGGGGCACGUGUGCUUUUCCUUUUCUGCAGGGUGGUUUUAUUUCAUUUGCUUCUAUUAGCAGGAAAUUUACAGGACCGUGACUGAUUAAAGGAGACGGAGAACUUUAAAGCAACUGGAUAAAGAUGUAGUGCCUCACAGAACCUGCCAGUGGUAUAGACCUGACAAGUGACAUCUUGGCACCUUAAGCUCCUGUCAGAUUUACUGUCUACAACACCAACCUGAUAGUUGUGUGCAGCUAGGUCCUUCUGUCAGUGAUAAAAUACACUCUUCAGCCUACCUGUGUACCAGGCUGGACCAUCCACACUGGUGUAAGAGUUGUUCUCGACCUGUGGGUCACCUCUUUGGUGGGGGGAGGGUAGAAUGAUGCUUUCACAUGGGUUGCCCAAGGCCAUUGGGAAACACAUAUUUACAUUGUUAGUCAUAGAUUCAUAACAGGAACAAAGUUAAAAUUUAUGAAAUAGCAAUGAGAAUAGUUUUAUGGUUGGGGGUCACAACCAAAACAUUUUAAAGGGCUGCAGUACUAGGUUAGGAAGCUUGAGAACCACUGU